AGUGAACGCUGGCGGUAGGCCUAACACAUGCAAGUCGAACGGCAGCACAGUAAGAGCUUGCUCUUACGGGUGGCGAGUGGCGGACGGGUGAGGAAUACAUCGGAAUCUAUUUUUUCGUGGGGGAUAACGUAGGGAAAAUUACGCUAAUACCGCAUACGACCUACGGGUGAAAGCAGGGGAUCCUCGGACCUUGCGCGAUUGAAUGAGCCGAUGUCGGAUUAGCUAGUUGGCGGGGUAAAGGCCCACCAAGGCGACGAUCCGUAGCUGGUCUGAGAGGAUGAUCAGCCACACUGGAACUGAGACACGGUCCAGACUCCUACGGGAGGCAGCAGUGGGGAAUAUUGGACAAUGGGCGCAAGCCUGAUCCAGCCAUACCGCGUGGGUGAAGAAGGCCUUCGGGUUGUAAAGCCCUUUUGUUGGGAAAGAAAAGCAGCAGGUUAAUACCCCGCUGUUCUGACGGUACCCAAAGAAUAAGCACCGGCUAACUUCGUG
rnacentral:rRNA from 1 species